rnacentral:lncRNA from 1 species
UAAGGAAUUUGGUGAUGUCUCUCCUUUCAAAUUAUUCAAUUUUAUCAAUAAUAGCUUGCAAGACUUUUGUAGUAUCCUUGCCACACUCUUGAAUUUAUUAUUAUUAUUCUAUGAAUUGUGCAAAUACAAAAAAAAGUCAUUUGAAGCAACUCCUCUUGGAAUUCCAAAACUUAAAUCAACAUCCUCCAUUAUUCCUAGUAGAAUAAUAAGUGCCUCAAGUCUCUCUCAAUUGAAGCACCAAUAUGUCGUAAAAAAAAAAAAAUCUUCAAGAAAAUAUUUGACUUUUAAUUGCUACUGAUUGCUUUACUAUCAUGUUACUUUAGAAUAUACACAACACUCUAUAAAUAAAACUCUUUUGUAACUCACUUGCCCUCAUAUUAACAAUUUUUUAUUU